GAAAUGCGAUAAGUAAUGUGAAUUGCAGAAUUCAGUGAAUAAUCGAAUCUUUGAACGCACCUUGCGCUCCUUGGUAUUCCUUGGAGCAUGCCUGUUUGAGUAUCAUGAAAUCUUCAAAGUAAAUCUUUUGUUAACUCAAUUGGUUUCUACUUUGGUAUUGGAGGUCUUUGCAGCUUCACACCUGCUCCUCUUUGUUCAUUAGCUGGAUCUCAGUGUUAUGCUUGGCUCCACUCGGCGUGAUAAGUUAUCUAUCGCUGAGGACACUGUAAAAGGUGGCCAAGGUAAAUGCAGAUGAACCGCUUCUAAUAGUCCAUUGACUUGGACAAUACUUUUAUGAUCUGAUCUCAAAUCAGGUAGGACUACCCGCUGAACUUAAGC
rnacentral:misc_RNA from 1 species